rnacentral:rRNA from 1 species
ACGGGAAGGCAGCAGUGGGGAAUAUUGGACAAUGGGGGAAACCCUGAUCCAGCGACGCCGCGUGAGUGAAGAAGUAUUUCGGUAUGUAAAGCUCUAUCAGCAGGGAAGAUAAUGACGGUACCUGACUAAGAAGCUCCGGCUAAAUACGUGCCAGCAGCCGCGGUAAUACGUAUGGAGCAAGCGUUAUCCGGAUUUACUGGGUGUAAAGGGAGCGUAGACGGCAUAGCAAGUCUGAUGUGAAAUCCCCGGGCUCAACCCGGGAACUGCAUUGGAAACUGUUAAGCUAGAGUGCAGGAGAGGUAAGUGGAAUUCCUAGUGUAGCGGUGAAAUGCGUAGAUAUUAGGAGGAACACCAGUGGCGAAGGCGGCUUACUGGACUGUAACUGACGUUGAGGCUCGAAAGCGUGGGGAGCAAACAGGAUUAGAUACCCUGGUA